rnacentral:tRNA from 1 species
CGGAAUGGCUCAGUUGGUAGAGCGACGCAUUCGUAAUGCGUAGGUCAGGGGUUCGAGUCCCCUUUCCG